rnacentral:rRNA from 1 species
GAUGAACGCUGGCGGCGUGCCUAAUACAUGCAAGUCGAGCGAACAGACGAGGAGCUUGCUCCUUCGACGUUAGCGGCGGACGGGUGAGUAACACGUAGGUAACCUACCUAUAAGACUGGGAUAACUUCGGGAAACCGGAGCUAAUACCGGAUAAUAUUUCCAACCGCAUGGUUCGAUAGUGAAAGAUGGCUUUGCUAUCACUUAUAGAUGUACCUGCGCGGUAUUAGCUAGUUGGGAAGGUAACGGCUUACCAAGGCAACGAUACGUAGCCGACCUGAGAGGGUGAUCGGCGACACGGGAACGGAGACACGGUCAAGACUCCUACGGGAGGCAGCAGUAGGGAAUCUGCGGCAAUGGGGGAAAGCCUGACGGAGAAAGGCCGCGUGAGGGAUGAAGGUCUUCGGUUCGUAAAACUCGGUUAUUGGGGAAGAACAGACGUGGAAGUAACUGUGCACGUCUUGACGGUACCUAAUCAGAAAGCAACGGCUAACUACGUG